rnacentral:lncRNA from 1 species
GAUCAAAUCCAAGCUGCAGUUGGAACCUAUGCCGCAGCUGCAGCAACAAUGCAUCCUUUAAGCCACUGUGCUGUGUUGGGGGAUUGAUCCUGUAUCCUGGCACUGCAGAGAUGUCACUGAUCCCACUGCACCACAGCAGAAACUCCUAAAAAAUGUCUCUUUAUAAGACAGUUUUUGUUUGCUUUUAGCCACUCUUUAAGUGAAAGCAAUAAAACUAAAAGGAAGGGGUACAUUUUCUGUUCCUAAGGGACCUCAUUUUUUUGGGCAUAUCACAGAACAGCCUUCAGUGUAAGUUGUUAAUGAAAAGUCCAGUGGUGCAAAAAGACAAACUAAGGAGUAGUCUGCUAUGGGAAACUCAAGUCAAAAUUGGUUACAUCCAGAAAAGAGUUGGUUUUCAUUUUGCUUGGUUAGGGAAAGAAAGAAAAAAAUUGCUAAUCCAAUCCUUAAGCUCAAUUGCUAAUACUUAUAUUGUAAAAGCAUUAAUUAUCUAGGUAGAAAUUUGCAAUAAAUAUAUAUGUAAUCAUGAUAUUUUAUGUAACUGAAAUCUAAUUUUGAAUUAUUUUUCUAUUUAUUGCCAAAUAAGAAACAUGGUAAAUGAAAGGAUAGCACCUUUUUAAAAUACAGCCUUGUGGAUUUUUUUUUUUUAAAUCGGUUCAUACCAUUGGAAAUGUGAGAAUAAAAAUAAGGUUUCUUACUUUACAGUUGUUUUCUUUGCUCAUUUCAUGUCCUUGAAAGCAGAAUUGCUUUUUCAUGAAUAGUGAAGACACAGGACACAAUGAAAUACAAGUGCUAUGUAGAGACAUAGCCUCAUUUAACAACUAGCUACUAUAAAAAUAAAUUAUACUGUAUGACUCAGGUAAGUUGUUAAUAAUUUUACUUUGUUUACAUUAUGCUUAGAAAGCAACAUAGCUUAAUGAGAUCAGAUAUUAAGGUAACAGUGUAUCUUAAGAGUCAUAAGGUUUUCAAGCUCUGCCAAAACCGUAGGCAGUUUGGAUGCGGGUAGUUUUUACUGAUAGUGUUUUCAAAAGAGGAAAUGAAUAAGGCCCUGCUUGGUACAGAAGUUAUGCAUUCAUUACCUAGGAAAGAGUAUUAAGUACACACAAAUUACUGAGUUGCUUUCAAAGGACACAAAUAACCUAAAUACAGAAAAGUUCAAGAACUGUAGAGGAAUUUUUAAGAAAUAUGAAUAAUAAUCACUAGCAUAAAAACCUAUAGGAAGCCCAUAAUAAUAAAUGACCAAGUAUCCAAUAAUCAUGUGGUCAAGUUCUAAAGCAGGUGAGCACUGUUUAGAAUAUCCAUUUUCUACAAAAUAAAAUUUCUUCCUAUUCCCUGAACUCUUUGGAUGAAUCAGGGGGUUAGUGGGCCACAGUCAGUUUUUCACUUUUAUGAUUCAGAAAAACAUUAUGCUUCUUAACCUUGGAGCUGCAUAUUUGAUUUUUUAAAUAAUUGUGAUGUUCAAGUAGAUACCACUCACUCUCAUUCACUGUUUAUUAAGGGCAUGAUUGAUUGUGGAUGUGCAAGAGCAAUUUCUCACUGUCUUCAUGAAAAAUGCAGGAGUAAAAGUUACUGGCUAUAAUUUUAGUUGCCAUAAACCUGAUGUCUCUAACAUGUAACACUUAAUUAGAGCACAAUCAUCCCAGCACAGCACAAUAUCUAACAGCAUAUUCUUUGCAGAAUUUUUUGCAGGUUUGUUUUUUUGCUUUUUCAAAAUCAACGAGGUAUUAUUUCUUCUCUCCCCAUACAUGCAAGUGUUGAAAAAUGCCAAAAAUAUAAAUAAAUAAAAUAAAUAAAAAGAAGCAAUCCCAAACACCCACUUUGCCAAAUCAGUGAGAAGGCGGGAUCUGUGAAAUGUAGAAAUUAUCCUUUUGCACCAGUAGAACACAUCAGCUGUAUGUGCACAGCUGCCACGUCAAGCAAAUGCACUUUUUCUAAAGGAAAGGUACAGCAUGUGUCAGUACAUUCAGCUUUACAUAAAAAUAAAUACAUUUCAAAAGAAGUAAGACAAGGGCAACAAGAAAAACAUUUUGCAAAGCUUAGUGCUAACUACUGAGGAGAUGACGGGAUGCCAUGCUGUUCUUACAUCCAGAAAGUGACAGAAUAUCUAGGGAUGGAGAGAAUACACACAGUACAAUUUAAAUUAGACCUGCAUCCAGAAAGGCACUGCCUACCUUGAAGAUGAUACUGUCAGAGGAGUAUAAACUGGCAAAAUCUGGGGCUGUAAGAUGUGUGUGAAGGUUAUUAAACCAUAUUACCUCCCAAUUUUUCUAUGAAACUAAUUCAAGUUAAAGGAGCAAAGUGAGUGUUAUGGUGGUCAGUCUAUCAUCCCUUCAAUUCCUAUCUUGCUACUGAUGACAGAAGUCUCAGAGAAAUAAAUUUAUAGGCUAUCUCUUCUAUUCAAUAAAGAACAGUGUUUAUUUUGGUUAUUUUUGCUACUUAACAAAUAACCUCAGGAAGUUGGUGGCUUAAAGCAACAACCAUGAUAUCAUAAUCUCAUAGUUUCUGUGGGUCACAAAUCUGGAAUGGGCUCGGUUAAGUGGAUCUAGCUUGAGGUCUUUUACAUGGUUAUAGACAUUUAGUAGCUGGUACUAAAACAGCGGUAUGAAGCAGCUGCUGACUGGCCAGGCAUGUCUCUCCCUAUUUAUCUCUCUAUCUCUCAUCUAUUUAUCAUCUUCAUAUAGUAUCAGGCCCGUCCUGGUGGCUAAUUUGGACUUCCUCACAGUAAGCAACCUCACGGCAGCCUGACUACCUCUAUGGUGGCUCAGGACUCAGUAUAGAGUGUUCCAUCAAACCAUGUGGAAGAUACAACUUUUUUGUUUUUCUGACUUGGCUCAGAGUCACAGAAAUCUCUACCACAUUUCAUUGGUUAUAAGAAGAGAGGAUAACUAGACUUCACAUGAUAUGGGAGUGACAAGGUUUAGAAGAUCUUGUGGGAACAGACAUUGGGAUGGCCAUCUUUGGAAAAAAAACUGUCUUUUACUCUGAAAGGGUUAUUAUUCUCUGAAAAGGUUAUGUGAUAUUUUGAAUAAAAUUAAAUAUACUCUUUGCUACUAGAUGACCAAGGAUAAAUUAUUGUAGUAAAAAAUAAAAAUAAUAAAAGAAACCUAGUAAUCUCUAGAUUCCAUGAGGCAAGAUAUAUUAUUUGUUAGUGAUACUUCCAUGGAAAUUCUAGCAGUUUCUCUCACCACUAUUUCUUCUACCUCAGGCCUGCCAGAAGGUCUGGAAUUAUACCUUUAGCUGAACAGAUUCAUUUUUAUUACAAGGAUCCAAAAAACAGUGGGAAUAACAGAAACUGAAGGCCUUUUGGCUCAGGUGAGGAAAGAGAGAAAGCUGAUGUCAACACUAAACUGACAGGGGAUAAACUCUCUUACACCAGUCUGGUAAUCUCUCUUACUGUCACUUUCCCCUUCUGUGAAAUAGAAAGGAGCACUCCUGACAAAACAAUGGUGAAGUAAAGCCAAGAAAAAUACUUGGGAAACAAUUCGCAAAUACAUGGGUCCAUUUGAAUGCCAACCAGAAGAUACAAUUAUAACUCCUGGGUUGGAUAGCCUACCUGUCUACGGCAUGGCCUUUGUCUCUGGACCAUGGACCUGUCACCAAGACUCCUGGUGUGAAUUUUUUUUUUUCCUCUAGUGAGGAUGGAUUUCUGCUAAGCUACCCACAUUCCUACCUGGUCUUCCUCUCCAGCAGUGGAAUGUCCUUGUUUGGUGGCUGGCAGGGUGAGCUAAAUCUCUACUAAGAGGAAUAAACUACUUUGAAUUUCCUGACAAUUUGGCCCAUCAAUAGCAAAUUUUCACCAAGUGAGAACAAGAAAUCUGAUCACAAAGGUCUGCAAAACCUUCUAGGCAAAGGCCUACUGAAAUCUGAUAUAAACUUGAGAUUCAGCAGUACGAAGGCACUCGCAUACUUGAAAGCAGAAGCAAGAAUGUGGUAGUGAAAGGAAUAUUUAGUCCACAGGAAUCAGAAGCUUACCUUAAAAGGGUAACUUUAAAGGACAAAGAUUGUUUCACUACUUGGGAGUCAGUGAAAUCUCAUCCUCUGUAUAAGGACUUGGUAGUGGUCAAUUUUCAUUGGGUUAACUCACUGAUGAUGGUACUACAGAAUAUCUGAGUUGGAACUCACCUCUUCAAGAUUAUUAGGGCUGCAAACUGAAGCUCUUCUGAACAUGAUCUUCUGAGUUGAACACUGCUCCUAAAUUCCAAAUCUAUGAGAUAUUUAAAACAUAUAUUGCAAGGUUUCAGAGGCAGGUUGUUUUCAGCUUUAUGCUGAAAGGAUAGGAAAGGUAAUACUUCUUGGUGUUUAGAUAAAGAUGACCAUUUAUCCUUGACCUUCUCAGAUCCCUUUCCAUUCCUAUUAAAUUCCUGACUUUUAAGAUAUUGAGAAGGAAUCAAACCCCAACUGAUCUUUAAAAAGGAGAUUAGAGAUAUAGCAAUUAUUGCCCAGAUAAGGAGAUAAGAAAAGUUUCUAACAAUCCUUUAAGUCAAACUAUUUACUUGCAAGAAGCUCACCUGUAUGGCAAGCACAGCUUGGUGCUUUUGUAAAGUCCUCUAGCUCUCUUCUAAAAGAAGCUGUAUUUAAGUAAUCAUCCAUUUAUACCAUUUAUACCGGCAGAUAACUGCACACCAAGCAACACUUUGUUCUUCUCUGAGAAAAUUUGAAAGAAAGAUUUUCCUAAAAUGGGAUUUCGGUGAUAUUUUGAGUUAAACACAGUGCUUCUAUUGUUUCUAUAAUUUAGCAUCUAUACUACCAGUGAGCAAAGAAAAGCAAGGAUUUUGGAGACUUUCAUGAGGCAGAUAAUAUACAUGGUAUUCACACUCUUGCAUUGUUCCUAGUGAAAAACUUCCACUGGGCUAAUUAGUCUUGGAAAGAAUUUCAACUGUAUGUACCAUGCUGUUGAAAACUGGGCAUAAGAAAAAGUAAGCCACCCCUUGAAUAAAUAUUUCAUGGAUUCAAGAUGCAUCAAGGAUGCAUAACCCCAGACUGAAAGAUUGAGUUGCUCUGGAUAUGAAAAUUGAUAUAAGAUGUAGGACUCAAACUAAAAACCUGCUUGACUUCUACUUAGCAAUUGCUUACUGUGGUUUCUCAAUGUGAGCUUUGUAUAAACAGAUUAACUUUGUUUUCUAAGUGUUUCUAAAGAGCCUGGAAACUAAGAAUCAAGUACUGCUUCUGCCCAGCCCUCAAAAACCAACAAACUCUUCCCCACACUCAACACCUGUUGUCAAAAAUAUACCACACAGCGGUCUUCAUCUUCUAUGCCAACAGAUGUGAAGAUGCCCGGAGGUCCCUCAGAAGUCUGUGCUUCUGAAUCUCCUGGGGGCACCAGGAAGGGGAGAGAAAAUGGUUCCGGAAUUCCAAAGGUCACUGCUGGAUCGAAAUAAUGAAAAUUGCCCACAUGUUAGAAAAAACUCAGAUGUGAUUACUGGAAAGUCUGGCAAUCAGACCAAGAACUAAGUAGGCUAGAGUUUCAUUUAUACUUUAAAAAGAGAGAAAGAAAAAGAAAGUGUGCCAUGGUGAGAAAAAUAAUUAUUAUGUUCUUCAGCCUUCAGGCUACCACAAUUAACAAGUUUAAACAGAAAAUAGAAGAAACCUUUACCUGUACCAAAAGGGAUCAAAUAUGAGAGGUCACACCUACACACAAUCGCUAAUUUCUGAAAAUAAAUGUAAGAAUUUAAGAGAUUGAAGAGAGUGGAAAUUAGAGUUGUUUUUGUUUUGUUUAUACAAAAAAGGAAGACCACAAAAUAUAUUUGAAUUUUCUUUCAAGGCACUUAUUGUAUCUGAUAGUCAUUUCCUUAUAACUAUUUUAUUCUAAGGACAGCUUUUCUUUCUAAUGUAUUUCUCCCUACUCCUUACUUGAAGGUACUAGAACUCUGUGUGGUAAUGUAUCGUGAUUAUAUAUGUAAAAAGAUGCACUUUCUGCAUAAAAUAAAUUUGAUGAUU